UAUCCUGGACUGUGUCUGAGAGUCUGCUCCUAAAUAAGGCUCAUUUCUUUUAAAACCAUGGAUUAAUUUCAUUAAGCAUGCAAGAGUUCUUUAGAAACUUUCUUGUGUGGGCUGUAGCUCAUUUUCAUUACUGUGUUUUUCUCCCCCCGACCACUGCAUCACUUAGGACAAUUCAUUAGAAAAUCCAACAGAAUUUAUUUGAAGUAACCAAUUAAUCCUUUGAGAUGCAACAAUUAAUAUGCAAAUUGUAUCACAUUAAGAAUCUCAGGAGGAAUGAAUUAAAUUGAAAAAUACAACCCUUCAGAAAUUAAAAAAGAUAUUGUUUUUCCAUCUACAGAUUUUCAGACUUCAUUUGAUUUUUCUUCUAUGGUUCAUUUUAUUAUCUCCUUGCCUAGAAGUACCAAAACAAAUGACCAUGCCUGUCUUAAAUGCAUUACAUCAGGAUACUAAUAGAAGGAUAUUAAACAUGAUAGCCAUAUUGACAAAAGACCUGAUGAGGCAAAUAACCAUAUACAUAAAUAUGAAUUUGUAACAGAAUAAUUACAUCAAAAAGUAAACAAUUUUCAUUGCCAUUUCCUUCUUAGAAAUGUUCACAGGGAAAUAAAGGACUAAGGUCAUUUUGAGAACAUUACUAAACAGACAACCUCUUUACUCAUGCAAGUAAAUUCUGUGUUACAGUUAGGUUUUAAAUGGGUUUCUCUGAUGACUGCAUAAUGUCAGGGAGAUAUGAAUAUUGCCAAUAAAACAACUUUUAAAUAGUGUCUAAGACUCACUGAGUGCUUUCUAUAUACAAUUUGCUAUUCUAGGCCCAUAGCAUGUCAUCUGAGCCUCACAAUGGCUCUGUGAAAUUGGGACUGUCAUUGCAAUCUUGUAACUGCCCAAUGGGCUCUCCUUGCCCGCUGUCUAGGCAGAGCCAAUAUAUCAACGCAGGGGAAUUGCAAUAGAGAAAGAAUAAUUCAUGCAAAGCCCAGCUGUGUGGAAGACUGGAGUUUUAUUAUUACUCAAAUCAGUCUCCCUGAAAUCUUGGGGAUUGGGAUUUUAAAGGAUAAUUUGGUGGGUAGGGGGUAGGAAAGUGGGGAGUGCUGAUUAACCAAUCAGAGAUGAAAUCAUAGGGAGUUAAAGCUGUCCUCUUGUGCUGAGUCAGUUCCUGGGUGGGGUCCACAAGACCAGGGGAGCCAGUUUAUCAACCUGGAUGGUGCCAGUUGAUUCAAUGAGUGCAGGGUCUGCAAAAUAUCUCAAGCACUGAUCUUAGGUUUUAUAAUAGUGAAGUUAUCCUGAAGAGCAAUUUGGGAGGCUUAGAAUCUUACAGCUUCCAGCUGCAUGAUUCCUAAACCAUAAUUUCUAAUUUGUAGCGAAUUUGUUAGACCUGUAAAGGCAGUCUAGUCCCCCAAGCAGGAAGGGGGUUCGUUUUGGGAAAGGGCUGUUAUCUUUGUUUCACAGUUAAACUAUAAACUAAGUCCCUCCCGUAGUUAGUUUGGCCUUCACCCAGAAAUGAGUAAGGACAGCUUGGAGGUUAUAGAAGCAAGAUGGAAUCAGUUAGGUCAGAUCUCUUUUACGAUCAUAAUUUUCUCAGUUAUAAUUUUUGUAAGGUUUGUUUCAAUCUUACAGGACAGGAACCAGAGGGUAAAGUGCUUUACCUGAGGCUGCCAGAAAGCUGGGCCAGGAUCUCAGCCCAAGCAUUUCAUGCUAGGGAUCAUGUUUCUCACCAUUGUGCCAUCUCUGAGAAAGGAAUUCCAGAAGAAUGGAAUACAGAAAAGCAAAGGGAGAAAAUUACCAAGGAAAUAAUAGAAGACAGUUUCUCAAGACUCAAGAAUGACAUAGAUUUUUAAUUUGAAAGAGGACCAUUGAGAGCCAUGUGGAAUGAAGGGAGACAUCUAGACACAGCAACAAGGGUAAGAGAAGUGACAAAAUACCUGAUGAAGGAAAGUAAAACAUAACUUAAAACAAACAAAAAGUACCUAAUCUUUCUUACUAGCAGCAGCAGUCCUCCAGGUUCUGAAGAAUUAUUUGAAAUUUAAAAUGUGAUGGCCUGUGAAAUAAAUCAGGUAUCACAAAUUAAUAAACAGGUGUCCUUUUCAGACACACAGGUAAGUACUCAGAAAGUUUAUGUCCUGGAGACUUUGCUGAGAAUGUUCCCCAGAAAAACCAAACAAAUAACUAAAAAAAAAAAAAAAAAAAAAG
ensembl:lncRNA novel transcript